GGACGAUUAGCUCAGUUGGGAGAGCACUGCCCUUACAAGGCAGGGGUCACUGGUUCAAGCCCAGUAUCGUCCACCA
rnacentral:tRNA from 1 species